UUCAUCCCAUCGAAUUCAUCAUCAUCAUCAUCAUCAUCAUCAUCAUCUUCUUCUUCUGCAGUUACUCGCCACCCUCCUCCGCUCCAAUCUCCACCGCACUCCGUCCAGUUGGAAGACUGGCCGACCACCUCCUUUGUGGCGAUGCACGGCGGCUGUGGAAGAAGGACGACGGGCGGAGAUCAAUUCGAGUUCUUUGGGAUGAACGAUUGAUCUUCAGAGUUCAGUCAAGUAGUGAACAUAACAGUUUUCGUUGUCUCCAUCUGUAAGUCUAUUUUUUAACAAAACUGACAACUUAUUUGACUUUUUUUAUCAGAAUUUGAGAUUUUAUGUUUAUUGUUAUCAACUAGGAAUGAUAAUUUGCACGAUGAUUAUUGUAAUAACAUGUGUUUUGGGGAUAAAUUGACAAGAAAAUGAGGUUACUACAUUGGAUUUAAUUUGUGCAUACCAAUUGUUCGAUGAAAUGCCUCUGUGAGUAUUUGAGGUGAUUUUGGUACUUGUAGUUGUCAUCCUCCGUUACUCCUACAUGUUGAUAAAUAAUACAACAUUUGUUACAGUUAGGCAAAUCGUAAACAGUACUUAAAUGCUUUUUUGUGAUAAUGAAUUUGAACACAAGGCUAAGGACUCUAAGACUAACAAUUAAACGGCAAAAAGACCAGCACUUUCUUAAUAAACUGCAAAUUUCCAACCAACAAUAAGAUAUCAAUUGUAAAUCCUAUAUACUUUCGACUUCCCAUACGAAAGCUGAAUAUUGUUUGACCUUAAAAGUCAAAGAACAGUUUUAUGGAAUGGUAAAAGUAGCAUCAGAAGUGGCGUUUUUAGCCCAUCCACCUAGAAUUGGUUGAUUUGGGAUGUGUUUUAUCUCCAACAUCUGAACAGAAUCAUCCGUCACCGAAGCGUCCAAAGCUCGAAAAUGGAGGUGAAUCGGAGAAAUCGACGGCGGAGGAGCGGUUACAGCCGGCGGCUGAGGAGAAUUCGAAGGAAUUGAGCUCGCCGACGGCGACGGAUCCGCCGGAGAAUGCCGAUGUGAGCUGCCUAAAAGCCUGGCAUUCUUUCAAGAGUAGACCCCCAGACCUAGAUCACACAUAUUCUAUGAAAGGGGCUUCUAACAAACAAUGACAAGACAGGAAGCGGCUCUAAGCCUUGGUGUUAGGAACAUUUUCAGUAUGUGGUGUUUGACAGAGAGAGCCCAGCAGCAGGCAAGGUUAAUCUGUUUCUGAUGACAAACAGUCCAAAUGAAACAAUUUUAAAGCAUCUCAAGCGGAAACGAUAUGUGGUUGAAAUGGGUCAGCUCUAUGUUGAACGUUGUUGCGUAUGUCAGGUUAAGUUGGUAGGGAUGCUGAUGAACAAGGCGUAGACGGUUGUUGAUGUUUCUUUUGUGCUUGAUGAUGAUGCCGGUCGCAUUGAUUGCAACAGAUGAUAUGGAAGUUGUUUCGCGUUUAUGUUUCUUUUCGGUUAUGUGGUUCUAGAAUCAGCUUGCAAAGCUAGGAUGGGAUCGCAGGUGUCACUUCAAGGUAUUUUUUGGUUUAUUUGACGUGAUGUCGCCGCCGCAACGCGCGGCGCGGGCAAAAAUCUAGUCUAUA